CUGUAACAUUUCACGGUGCAUAUUUUUGGACUGAGCUUAGAAGAAGCCCUUCAUAUCUUCAAAUCAUCAUUGCUUUAAACAAAAAAAACAAGCACGUCAUUUCAUAAUGUGCUUGACUCUCAAAUCAGGUGCUUGCGCCAAGAAAUACACACACUGGAAAAAAAAAAAAAAAAACCUGCCCUCUUCCCCACAGAGAAGAAAUAGUAAAACAAGCGCAAAGCUGAACACCGUGACUUGUCUGCAAGCCAACUUCUGCCAGCAAGCGUUGAGCGUUAGUCGAGUCGGGCUGCUGGCUGCUCACCUCACAUCAUUUUCACAAGCAUCAAAGUCUUCAUAAAAGCUUGAGCACACACAAAUUCGGCUGGAACCGUGGCUGCUCAGUACGCAGCAGCGAAAACCAGGGCUGGAGUUGGUUUGUGCAAUGUGAGACAGGAAAAUAUUCUGUUGACCAAAACUGCCAAUCAGUGACUCAAUUAUCUAAUCUACUGAGACUGGGUUCUGGAAAGAGAGAGGAAAUUAAAUCCCCGCGAGGAGCCUUAGCUCAAGUUUUGUUCAAACUCCCAAAAGGGAGGCAAAAGGUCCGCAAUAUGUGUCGACUCUAAAACACUGUAGUGCUAAUCUCCCAUCUGUGCCGCUGGAAUUACUGUCGACGUUCAGUGUGUGGUCCUUACGCUUCGGCACGAUCCGAGACGGCACAGCUGGGGCAUUUGCGGGCGCUUUCAUCAGAGUGGAACUCGUGCAAUUCGGGGUUUUUUUUUUUUUUUUUUUUUAAUCGCCACAACAGAAAGUCGACACCUCCUGCUGUGACACUCGCAGGAACUUCAUCUUGUGAGCUUGUCUCGCAAGAUUAACCUUUCAACUGCCUAACCCGAGGACGUCUCCAAGUAAAACUCAUGACGGACCAGCUGUGCUUUGGUCGUGUCAGUGAAAUGUGACUCAUUCAAAAAAAAAUCUUGCCGUUAGUCUGGCAGGUGAGAGAAAGAGACUUCUGUCGGGAUGAUGCUCUUUCGCAUUUGGCAGGACCAAAUUAGAAGCACUUCCAGUACUGAACAAAAUGGAUUCCUCCAUUAUUCAGGAAAGAGCAGGUGGAAUCUUGAACUCCAGACCACCAAGAGAUGAUGACCCAUCCAUUCAUUUUCUACCGCUUAUGCUGUUCAGGCGCCGCAGGGACCGGACAAAACUAUCCCAGCGAUGAGGACCACCAGGAAGAGGACAAGAAAGCCGGGCGAGCGCUGCUGCAUCCUUG